GAUGAACGCUGACCGAAUGCUUAACACAUGCAAGUCUUUGGCGAAUCUGUGCUUGCACAGGCUAGCCAAGGCGGACGGGUGAGUAACGCGUAAAGAACUUGCCCUGCAGACAGGGAUAACAGACGGAAACGACUGAUAACACCUGAUACAGUUGCCGGCACGCAUGUGCCUGGCAAUGAAAAGAGAUGCUGCAGGAGAGCUUUGCGUCCUAUUAGCUUGUUGGUGAGGUGACGGCUCACCAAGGCGAUGAUAGGUAGCCGGCCUGAGAGGGUGAACGGCCACAAGGGGACUGAGAUACGGCCCUUACUCCUACGGGAGGCAGCAGUGGGGAAUAUUGGACAAUGGGGGCAACCCUGAUCCAGCAAUUCUGUGUGCACGAAGAAGGUUUUCGGAUUGUAAAGUGCUUUCAGCAGGGAAGAAGAAAGUGACGGUACCUGCAGAAGAAGCGACGGCUAAAUACGUG
rnacentral:rRNA from 1 species